rnacentral:lncRNA from 1 species
ACCAUCCCAAAACUUAGUGUGUAAAACAACAACCAUUUUAUUAGGCUCGUGAGAUUCCAUGGGUCCAAAAUAGAGAAAGAGGAGUUCCCGUCGUGGCUCAGCGGAAACGAAUCUGACUAGGAACCAUGAGAUUGCAGGUUCGAUCCCUGGCUUUGCUCAGUGGGUUAAGGAUCCGGCAUUGCCAUGAAUUGUGGUGUAGGUUGCAGACGUGGCUCAGAUCCCGUGUUGCUGUGGCUGUGGCUUAGGCCGGCAGCAAUAGCUCUUACUCGACCUCUAGCUUGAGAACCUCCGUAUGCUGCGGUUGCAGCCCUAAAAAGACAAAAGACAAAAAAAAAAAAAAAAANNNNNNNNNAAAAAAAAAAAAAAAAGAAAGCACACGCACAGUAUCAUAAAACAGAUAAACGGAGUUCCCGUCGUGGCUCAGUGGUUAACGAAUCUGACUAGGAACCAUGAGGUUGUGGGUUCGAUCCCUGGCCUUGCUCAGCCCGCGGGUUAAGGAUCCGGCGUUGCCGUGAGCUGUGGCAUAGACGUGGCUCAGAUCCCGCGUUGCUGUGGCUCUGGCGUAGACUGGUGGCUACAGCUCCAAUUUGACCCCUAGCCUGGGAACCUCCAUAUGCGGCAGGAGUGGCCCAAGAAAAUGGCAAAAAGACAAAAAACAAAAACAAACAAACAAAAAAAAACCCCAGAUAAACAACAAGGAUUUACUGUAUAACACAGGGAACUAUAUUCAACAUCUUGUGAUAAACUAUAAUGGAAAAGAAUAAAAAAAAAGAAUAUAGGAGUUCCCCAGUAGCCUAGCAGUUAAAGGAUCUGGCAUCGUCACUGUUGUGGCUUGGUUCACUACUAUGGUGUGGUUUCAUUCCCUGACCUAGGAACCUCCUCAAGACAUGGGCACAGCCAAAAAAUAGAUAGAUAGAUAGAUAGAUAGAUAGAGAAUGUAUAACCGAAUCGCUUUGCUGUACACCUGCAACUAACACAAUACUGUAAAUCAACUAUAUUUUAAUAAUAAAAAAAAAAAGCUCAAGGAGUUCCCAUUGUGGCUCAGCGGGUUAAGAACCCAUCUAGUAUCCAUGAGGAUGCAGGUUCGAUCUCUGGCCUCAGUGGUUUAAGGACCUGGCGUUGCCACAAGCUGCAGUGUAAGUCACCGGUGAAGCUCGGAUCUAUGUUGCUGUGGCACAGGCUGGCAGCUGCAGCUCCGAUUCAAUCCCUAGCCUAGGGUCUUCCAUAUGCCCUAGGUGCAGUCCUAAAAAUAAAGAAAAAAAGCUCAAGAAGUGUGAACAGUAAUAACAAUCCCUGGUUCUUGUACAUUAACUGAGCAACUCCUA